GAGGUGUUAGUAAAAUUAUUACAUAGUCUUGUCAAGGCUAAAUUACAGGUGAAACCCCAGUACACCUCA
rnacentral:tRNA from 1 species